UACGGGGGGAGCAAGCGUUGUUCGGAUUUACUGGGCGUAAAGGGCGCGUAGGCGGCGUGACAAGUCACUUGUGAAAUCUCCGGGCUUAACUCGGAGCGGCCAAGUGAUACUGUCGUGCUAGAGGUGCGGGAAAGGGGCUACUGGAAUUCAUCGGUGUAGCGGUGAAAUGCGUAGCAUAGUCGAGAGGAACACCUGCGGCGAAGGCGGGUUGCUCGGGCCGACACUGACGCUGAGGCGCGAAAGCCAGGGGAGCGAACGGG
rnacentral:rRNA from 1 species